rnacentral:ncRNA from 1 species
CAUCACCCGUCGCUCCUACCGAUUGAAUGGUCUAAUGAAGUGUUUGAAUCGUGGCAACGGAGGCGAUUCACCGCCCCCGACAUCGCGAGAAGUUCACUUAACCUUAUCAUUUAUUCGAAGAGAAGUCAUAACAAGGUUUCUGUAGGUGAACCUACGGAAG